GUGAGGAAUCUUCCACAAUGGGCGAAAGCCUGAUGGAGCAACGCCGCGUGAAGGAUGAAGGUCUUCGGAUUGUAAACUUCUUUUAUGAGUGAAGAAUAUGACGGUAACUCAUGAAUAAGCACCGGCUAACUACGUGCCAGCAGCCGCGGUCAUACGUAGGGUGCAAGCAUUAUCCGGAGUGACUGGGCGUAAAGAGUUGCGUAGGCGGUUAUGUAAGCGAAUAGUGAAACCUGGUGGCUCAACCACACAGACUAUUAUUCGAACUGCAUAACUCGAGAAUGGUAGAGGUAACUGGAAUUUCUUGUGUAGGAGUGAAAUCAGUAGAUAUAAGAAGGAACACCAAUGGCGUAGGCAGGUUACUGGGCCAUUUCUGACGCUAAGGCACGAAAGCGUGGGGAGCGAACCGGAUUAGAUACCCUGGUAGUCC
rnacentral:rRNA from 1 species